GACGUAGGGCGCGAGCGUUGUCCGGAUUUAUUGGGCGUAAAGAGCGUGUAGGCGGCCAUGUAGGUCCGGUGUGAAAACUCGAGGCUUAACCUCGAGAUGUCAUCGGAAACCAUUUGGCUAGAGUCCGGAAGAGGAGAGUGGAAUUCCUGGUGUAGCGGUGAAAUGCGCAGAUAUCAGGAAGAACACCCGUGGCGAAGGCGGCUCUCUGGGACGGUACUGACGCUGAGACGCGAAAGCGUGGGGAGCGAACAGG
rnacentral:rRNA from 1 species